rnacentral:sRNA from 1 species
UGAGCGUCCCAACCCAUUCGCGGAAGCUCGCAGGUUCCAUAAUCGCCUUCGCCUUUUGACCACGGAUGUACUGGCACUGGUGUGAAAAGCGAUGUGAGGAAGGUCGGUGCGGUUUCGCCCCGGCCUUUUUUGU